rnacentral:rRNA from 1 species
AACGAACGCUGGCGGCAUGCCUAACACAUGCAAGUCGAACGAGACCUUCGGGUCUAGUGGCGCACGGGUGCGUAACGCGUGGGAACCUGCCCUUAGGUUCGGAAUAACUCCCCGAAAGGGGUGCUAAUACCGGAUAAUGUCUUCGGACCAAAGAUUUAUCGCCUUUGGAUGGGCCCGCGUUGGAUUAGCUAGUUGGUAGGGUAAAAGCCUACCAAGGCGACGAUCCAUAGCUGGUCUGAGAGGAUGAUCAGCCACACUGGGACUGAGACACGGCCCAGACUCCUAGGGAGGGCAGGAGUGGGAAAUAUUGGACAAUGGGCAAAAGCCUGAUCAAGCAAUGCCGGGUGAGUUAUGAAGGCCUUAGGGUUGAAAAGCUUUUUUACCGGGGAUGAUAAGACAAGAACCGAGAGAAAAAGCCCCGGCUAACUCCGU